ACCGUCCUUGUCUUGGGGUGGCUUGGGCUAUUCAAUGAACGUCUAGUGAGAAUAUCCCUGCUAACACCAGACCAACACAUUUCGCAUCACCUGAACCCCUUGGGGAUCAGGCUAUGGUGCAAUUUUUGGAAAC